UCUAUGGGUUGCUUUAUAAUUUUUAUAACAUUAAUAUUGAGUCAGUGUAUGUAUGCAUACGUGUAUGCUUAUGUAUAUAUGUGUCUAGAUACCUCAAUAUGUGUGUGUACAAGUGUGUACAGAGUACAGGUCAUCCUGUGCAAUAGCUAAGGAUCAGUGUGAAUUAUUAGGAAUCUUUUGUGGCCAGAAUUCUUUCUUUAUUGUGUAAUUGCAAUUGAAUUUGAUGAUUCAGCAUCUCUGGGAAUAAGAGAUUUUUGGGAAACUAUGUAAUUAUUUGGGGUAUUUUAAGUGCUCUUUAAUUAAUGAGUUCCUACUUGAAUGCACUGUAUCAUAUUUUCAGUCACUUAAUGAACUGUAUUGAGGAUUCUGUAUACAGUUUUCUCCCCACAUGCAUCAUUUGUCUUCAUAUAAUUUGAACAUUUUUGGCAUAUUUAUAUUCUGAAGUUUAGAUCCACAUCCAACCAAGUAGCAGAUGACCAGACCAGUUGCUUAUGUACUUUGACUACAUGGAAAAGCCCUUCAGCUCAGCUGUCUGGUGCACACAGAAUAGCAGAAGAAUGUUGGCAACAUUUUCUUCACUGGCAGACUAGCUAUUAAUUGAUCAUUCAUUCAACAAGCAUUCAUGGACAUCUCCAAUGAAUCAGCGACUGUGGACAUCAAGAUGAACAAAGCAUGGUUUCUGGCACCUUCAUCAUCACCUUGGAACUUAGUCACAUGGAUGAAAUAAACAAUUCAAAUAGACAAAAGCCCUGGAAAAGUCUGCUGUGAACGGAGCAGGGAUGGUGUGCAGGAGUGUUGGUGAUGGUGAGGGCAGCUCUUUCAUUUCAGAUCCUUCCCCUUUGGGAGAAGAGGGCAAGACUGACAACUCCUGCGAUGAGAAAUGGGAGGGUAAGGAGAGAAAAGGAGAGUGGACUCGAGCAUCUCCUAGAUGGCAUCUUGCUAGGCCAAGCUAUCAUCACUGCUUACGGAGAUUGUUUAGUAACUAAUGCAGUAUUCUAUCCCUGUUCACUAUCUGUCUUUAGCACGUUUCCUGCCACAGUCUAAAUAGUUCUAAAGCACAUGGACACACACACACACAUGCACGCACGCCACAGAAAUACACUGAGUUCGUGCAACUUCAUGCUCACCAUCUAUGGCUUCAUGUGGCUCUUAGAAUAAAUCCCGAAAUGUAUCUACCAGCUCCUUAGUGGUCCUUUGCAGUCUCUUCAUGUCUCUCACUCUUUCCUGUCUUUAAGCUCCAACCACUUAGACUUUUUCCAUUUCAGACUCUUUUUCAGUUCUUAUGCCAGUAAGAUGAGUUUCCCUCUCAACUCAGGUCAUGCUAAUCAUGUUUUCCCUAAUACUUGGGGUCUUCUUCCCUCUCCCCCUCCAUACCUCACUGUUCUUCAGAACUUAGCUAAAGAUUCACCUUUAGGAAUCCCUUUCUAACUUUUGUGACUAGGUCAAAAAACCUGGUUCCUCUUCAUAGCAAUUUCUGAUAUAUUAUGUCACUAAAUAACUAUUUACCCAUACACUCUUUAUUCAUUGAGGCAGUUAGAAUGUAUCUCUGCCCUCACAGUUUACAUUCUAGUAGAAGAAAAUGUUAUUAACAAAGAAGUAAGUAUGUAUGGUAAUACAAGUGCCAUAUGGUAAUACUGUAAAAGCUAUGAAGACAGUUUAGGAUGGAAUAGGAGAUUAACAAUGCCUGACAGGAGAGAAAGUAAGGGAGAGAACUGGCAUUAUACACGAAUCAUUAAGGAAACCUAACCGAGAAGGUGAUGUUGGCCCUAAGACCGGAAGGAAGGAAGGAGUGGAACUGUGUGACUGUUCUGGAAUGGCUCAUCCGGCAAAGGUGAAAUUGCCAUUUGCUGAAAUGGGGAAGACGAGAUACCGUUUUUAGACAUACGAAGCUGCUUUUCAGACAUCUAGAAUCAAUUGUAAACAUCUUCACUAAGAGCUGAAAUACAUUCCUGGGAACAUGAGUUUGACAGAAGUGUUUCUUUAUAUUUUGUACUCAAAGCCAAAGCAUCUGGCACCAAUUUCCUUAGACCUUUCUCAGUUUCAAACCUACCAUCCGACUCUCUGCAUACCUUGAGAUCUCAGUUGAAUCUUUGCCUCCAGAGUCCUGAGGACAAAAGGAUAACAAACUGGAAAGAACCGAAUAGUAAUGAUUUUGGUCCAUGAAAACCCCCAGGACUUCAGUGUAUCCAUAGCAAGGCAACUAGCAAUGGCUACAACAAAGUUGAAAUGCUUAAUUUCACAAUUUUGUAGGAAAUGCUGUGAAAGUUUUGAAAGUGUCAAGAAUAAAAAAUAUGAAUUGGAAAGAAUUUUUCCAUAAAGCUACAAUCAGUACUUUCGUUAGGAGCUCGGGCAACAUGGCUGCCCUGGAUACUGUGGAACUUGUGAGGCUAACCAGUAGAUUCCAUCACUAGAGAACGUCAUCACUUAAAUGUCUACAGCAGUGUAUCCGUUUCAUCAAGCAAGGAUUAAUAUGUAAGCAGAAUUAUUUAAUGCAGUCCCACACUGACAAACUAAGCCUGAGAAGAUGUAGUGGUUUCCAGUUUACAAAGUGCCAGAGACUGAGUUCUUAUACUGGCUAAUUCAAAGGAAGCUGGCAAACAAUUUAAAGAUGUAAUUUGCAUCCUGGCUGGUGAUAUUCUCUGACUUGCUGAGCCUCUUAUGCAGCUUGUUUGCAUUGGCUGGGCAGAUUUGCUGUUUCUAUUCUAACUGCAUUGUGUGCAGCAUGAAGAAUGCUGAUUAAUUCUUGUCGGUAACCAUCCAACACACUGCCAGUGUUUCACAUUUAUAUCCUCCAAUCCAAAAUCUGUGUAUGCAUUCCUUAAGUCAUUAGUGGGAAUAGCAUGUAAUGUGUAAAUAAACCUGCUUUUGAUUUGGAUGAAAAAUAACUGUUGAUCCUCUGCUCCCUUUAAAAUACAGGAAUUGCAUUAGAUGGGGGGAUCUUCUAUAGUCUUCGUCUGCUUCAAGUGGCUUUAAUUAGCAUUUUUUAAUUGUCCCCACAGCUGCCACUCAUGGAAAACUCAAAAUAUCACUUGUAACUGGAAGAUAAACUUGCAGUUUGUGCAUAGCAUGAAGUCAGUAGAUCUUCAUAAACUGUAGACAUUGCAACUACUCAGCAUUAUUGUUCUAGUAAUGGUACUGGAGUGUUUCUUGGACAGCCAUUUUUGAUACCUUUUGAUUAUAUGGUAGGUGAUUUUCUCAUCUUAUUACUUUAAAAGAGAAAGGUAACAAAUGAUAUCUAGGCGAGUCCCAUUUAGCAUAUUGUUCACUGUUUUGUUCAGAGAAUAAAUGUUUUUUACUAGUCCAUGUUUGCAGUGCAUCAUGUUGACACUCCUCAUGCGGAGUUGGCUGGCCCAUGUGCACAACACACCUCAGUUCCUUCUCACCCCCUUUCCCUCCUCCUCCCAUCUCUCCAUUCCCUUUUCUUUCCAAAAAGAUUUAUCUUUAGACUUCCUAUCAUCUUUUUUACUUUGUUCUUUAUUUAUAUUUUGGUUUAUCACUAUGGAAAUCAGUAUGAAGAUUACUAAAAAAAUGAAAACUUAAAUUCCACCUGACUCAGCCAUUCCCCUUCUGGACGUUUUCCUGGCAAAGUUAAAGACAUCAUAUUACAGCAAUUCAUGCACACCCAUGUUUAUAGAAGCACAAUUCAUACUAGUUAAAUCUUGCAAACAACCUAUAUGUCCACCAACAGAGUAAAUAAAUUUUUAAAUGACAGGUUGUAGUUUGAAAAGUCAUUUUAUUAGAAACCUUAAAGUAUUCUGAGAAGAAAAAGGCAUCAUUCCUUACUUUGAAGCUUAUAGUCAAGUUAUAGUUUACAGUAGAGUAUGCAGUCAGAAUUAAAACAAUAACUGACACUAUUAAAAUGAAUUUAUCCUUAUUUUCUUGACUUCAUUCCCAACUUUACCUAGCUUUUCUUGGGUUCCUAAAUGGAACUAUCAAAUCAUAUGAUUAGAUUCAUCAUAACUGACCUUUUUGCUUUCUGAAAAAGUAAGUAUCUAAGAGAAUAGAAUGGUUUAAAAUAUUUUUUGUACUGUCAGUGAAGGAGGUAGAAAUGACAACCACUCACAAUGGAUGAAACCGUAGGGGAGUUAUAUUAUUCAGGUGAUUGGGAAGACCUCAGGAAAGUCUACAGCAAGGACCCUGUUAGGUUUUCUUGUGCUGAUUAUCACUGCAGUUCCCUCAGUUGGCUGUACUCUGACCCCUUAUCCGUUUAUGUUGUGUCUUCUGGAACGUUUAAUGUUUAUUUUGCAUUGAUAGAGUUUCUUGAUUGGAAAAUUUUUGUUUCCUGAAAAGUUCAGCAGAAAACCCCACAAUGAACAUUACAGUUACAUUAUAAUUGGCCUGAAUUGGCUCCUGUGUCCACCAUUUAAACAAGUGGAAGGAAGGCUAAGGACGUUUUUGGUCAGCAUUAGCCCAGCCCUAAGAUGCAGAUAAGGAGAGGCCUCUUUUCAUUAUGUUUCUUGAGAAUGAAAAGUUUUUCAGGGAAAAUCAGGAUGUGAUUAUCGGAAACAGAAAUGGAACUAACAGUGGGAAAAAAAAUGAAUAAAAGGGGAGAAAGGAGUGAAGAACUAGCAGUGGGGAAGGAGAAGAAAGGAAAAAUAAGGAAAAGACGGGAGAGGAAGGACUGGAAGGAAGAAGGCUGCCGUUUUAUUGAAGGGUUAAUCAGCAAGGAAGCAGCAGGGCAGGGGGCAGAGGAGCUGAGCUCUUAGCUGGAAUUCUAAUAGGAUCAUUAAUUUCUGUAUAAUUGUGUGAUAAGUCCAUUUGGUUAACUUGGAAGAGCAGUUUCAUUAAUUAGCCGUGUCUAUGCGGAAACACACACAACGCACAGUCACAUAAAUACCUGCAUACCUGUGAUUGGCCCCACAAGACUUCUGAGAUAAAGAAGAUUUACAAUGAAUCUCAUAGUUUUUUCUGGGAAAAUUCGCUUAUAGUCACUUCGUGCCUCACAGAAAUGUGUGCAGGUCUUGAUUGUGCAUAAAAUAAAUGGUAGGCUUAUAUAGGAAGAGUAUUUUUUUAUAUAAGAAGGUCACAAAAUCUCAUGAUAUAAAUUAGGGCACUAACUUUACCAUGCAUUUUAUAUAGAUUCUUUUUAAAUUUUUUUAUUGAGUUUAUUGAUAUAUUUAAGUACACC
rnacentral:lncRNA from 1 species